rnacentral:rRNA from 1 species
GGAAGUGGGGAUGAUGUCAAGUCAGCAUGGCCUUUAUAUCCCUGGGCUACACACACGCUACAAUGGCCAACACAAUAGGUUGCUAAGCCGCGAGGUGGCGCCAAUCCAUAAAGUUGGUCUCAGUUCAGAUUGUAGGCUGCAACCCGCCUGCAUGAAGAUGGAGUUGCUAGUAACCGCAGGUCAGCUAUACUGCGGUGAAUACGUUCCCGGGGCUU